UUUGGAUAAUCUCUUGCAGCCCCUCUUUUCUGGGGAUCCUCCGUUGUACCCUUCUCCUGAUCCACGCCUUCCCAUCUUUGUCUUUCUCUGUCCCAGGAGGCUGACUCCCAGGGACUGCAUCUUUGAACUUUCUUCCUGGAUGACUUCUGGGCUUGGCCAAUGGAGGUUCCAGCAGGGGAGUGGAGGGUGGAGGGAAAGAGGAGUCUGAGGCCUUCCUCACCCCCUGUCUCUGCUACAGGGCUGCAUCUGGCCAUAGUGUGGCCCCCACAUCCACAGCCCUGGCUGGGCUGCCCGACCUCCCCACCGCCAGUCCUCACUGGGCUCACAUGACAACAAUUCAUCCUGUUUCCCCUUCAUCCAUCAGUGGGAGUGGUUCCCUGCUAAUGCUAGUCCUGGGUCCCUCAACACCCCACCUGAAGCAGUGCCUUCAGGAAUAUUCUUCAAAAGGCAACAGGUAGAGUGGGAUAUCAGCACUAUCUAUUGGCAAUAUAUACAUCUGACAAAGGACUUGGAUUCAAAAUAUUUAUGUAACUCCUACACAUCAAUAAGGAAAAGACAACCCAACAUACAAGGAACUGAAGACUUGAAUAGACACCUCCCGAAAGAACACAUCAGAAUACCUUCCUGCAUGUGUCUCAUAAAUAUAUGCAAAAGAGUUAAACUUUGUUGGCCAUCAGGAAAAUACAAGUGAAGACCUGUGAAAGGUGGUCGUACACUCACUGGAAUGGCUAAAAUAAACAUGGUGGCCAUUCCGAGUGUUGGUGAGGACGCGGGGCAACCAAAACUCCCCUGCACUGCCGGCGGCAGCGUAUGGCGUGGACAUUCUGGAGAAAUCUUUGGGUGAAUUUCUGCUGGGACCUUGACUGACAACUUCCUUUUCCCUCUGCACCUGGCAGCUCUCCUUGGCACUUGGCGGCUGCUCCAACCAGUCUCCCAUCCUCAGAGGUUUCUAGGAGAGAAGCAGGCAUCAUUCUUUCUGCUCAUUUCUACUUCCAAACAUUCACCAAAUAUCUCUCAGGAACAUUGUCACCAGGGACCGUUCAGCUAAUUGCACAGGGUGGGCACACAGUCAUGUCCCCUCUGGCGGCACCCUGAUUUCUAAGGGUAUCUCUUGGCAUCACGUGACCUGGUUCGAGGGACACCUCUUGGCACUCCCACUGCAUGACAACCUACUGCUCCCCUCAAGACCCCUUCUUGCCCCAUUUCUCUUAAUUCUUCAUACAUUCUUUACAGCUGAUUGGCUGGACCACUGGUUAAGAGUUGCAAAACCAGUUUAGACUUCUUAGUAAGCCUGAGAGUGGGUUUCUGGUGGCUGGUGGCUCCGUGCUCUUUCGUAAGUGUGGGAGGUACUUCAUUCCAGUUGUCCUUGACUUUGGACUGUAGCCAAAAUCCAAAUGCUCCGGGAAAUGCUUCCACAAUGGCUGACGGUAGUGUGCCCUGGUUUGCUCCCACCUGUUGCUGCGUCCACAGAAGCUUGUGCAACACAAUCAUCCAUUGCUCUGCGGUUUUCAAAAAUAGCUGGUUGGUUGGUUGAACGAGGCCAGACAACUUUUUUUGGAGGUUUGCAGUGCAUAAAUAACAACCACAGUGAACCUGAAGUAAAUCCGAACCAUUUCCUGCCCAGCUUGCAGGGCUCUGCGCGGAUUCAAGAAUUUGUCUUUCCAGCGUCCCUAAUACACCCACGAAAGAGGGACCAAGGUUCAGGCAGAAAAUACUCUCCUAAGAAUAUCGGUCUUUGGUGGUCACAAGAGGACAGUCCCUGAAGUUGGCUUUUUGUGACAUUGCAACAUUCAGCAGGAGGAAUAUAUAUAAUUUUUUUUUUUUGAGAUGGAGUUUUGCUCUUGUCACCCAGGAUGGAGCGCAGUGAUGUGAUCUCUGUUCACUGAAACCUCCGCCUCCCGGGUUCAAGCGAUUCUCCUGCCUCAGCCUCUCGAGUAGCUGGGACUGCGGGCACGCACCACCACGCCUGGCUAAUUUUUGUAUUUUAGUAGAGACGGCGUUUCACCAUGUUGGCCAGGCUGGUCUCGAACUCCUGGCCUCAGGUGAUCCACUCGCCUCGGCCUCCCGAAGUGCUGUGAUUACAGGUGGGAGGAGGAAUAUUUUUAAAGCUGAAGACAUCUGGCCACCGGUUCCUCCAUGAAAGUGGAUACAGCUUUUUAAUGCAUAAGCGGGCAAAGAGAAUUUGCCAAUAGCUGGGACUUCGUCACUUAAAAUCUGGUAGGAGCCCCACUCCUAUCCAGCCAGGACUAAUGCUUUCUCUCAUGUAGUUGUGAGGCUUGGCUUCUAUUCACGAGCCCAAAGACUGGCAGAAUCCAGGAGAAGGCUAAGAACAGGAGUGACCUCUCCAAGAGGCAUCCACUCCAAACCCAGAUGACGGAGUUAGGGGGCAUGAACUGAUCAAGAAGCAGAAACUGGACACACAGGCAGGGGUACUUACCUUUCUGGAGAAUCCUAGAGGCCUCAAAGUGAGUGACACACACACCAAGUGAGUGACACCCACACUAAGGUGCCGGUGGGAUUCCCACCAAGAGGCUGCUUCAGGUACGCACGGCCGUCCUGCCUGCGUCUGAGCACCAGAUCCUGUUGAGCGGAAGUUUCUGCCCUGCUCCUUCACGGCGUGGGCACGGUCGUUCAUCAGGCAUGUGCAGCAUCCUCAAACACUUCUAAUGCUCACUGGUAAAACCAAUCCACUUAAAAACACACUGCAUUUCCAGGAUCAAUGAGGAGCUCUUAAUGACCCCAGAUCGCACGUCCUCCUCGGCCAGGCCCAUCACCAGGCUAGCACUUGGGCCCUUCCUGUGGGCACAUAGAGAACAAUGUCGUCAUUGGUUGUCCUCAGAAUUCCAGCUCUGUCCUCUCAAGUAAGUCCUGGGCUUGUCCAGUCAACAUAUUUGCUAGGACACUGGUUUCUGGCAACCUCUUAGAUGACUAGUAGUUGGGCUAUCAGACUGAAUUCUCUCUUUCAAAUGUAAAUACUUCCUAGCCAGGAAAAAAAAAAAAAAGCCGUGUCAAGUCAAAUAUUUAAACCCCAAGGAAUUUUAGUCUUGUUCAGUUUCCAAACCUGGGGAAGUUAGGACCAGGGAUAAAAACUAACACGUUUCCUCCAGGACUGCUGACAAGGAUGUCUCCACUCUUCCCUCAAGACGCCUGUCGGUGCCUGAUUUCUUACAAGGGCUCCAGUUCUUAGUCUGGAUUCAGUGAUUCCUGCUGUCAGUGGCAGGACCUGCUCUACGUGGCCCUGGCAGUGCGAUCCAGCCUUCUUUAUUGCAGGUACCUCACGCACAGGAGACCGGCGCUCCGGAGCAGGCUUUGCUGAAGCUGUGAGCAGAGGAGGGGUGAUGCUGUGGACGAACGUACCUGGGACCCGGAACCCAGACCCCUCUACGCCCCAAGGCCCUGGUGGCUCUGCCGCUUCGAACCUUGCUUGGCCACCAAGCCUGUGACUCUGCCGAUCGUCUUUGCCCUCCUCAAGUUUCCUCACCGCUCUGCAGCCUCCCCACACCUGCAAGGUCCCUGGCUUGUUUAAACAGAGAAAUUUCACCCCCAGGACUCACUGCACCUACCCUCGUGUAUCUAAAUUCUCACCAAUGGAUGCUCAGCCAAAGUAGGGACAGCAUCUAGAGGAGUGGGGGGUACAGCAGAAGCUCUGAGGAAUCCCUUGUUCCUUCUCUCUUCCUCCUACUGUCCCUGAAAAACAGGUAGAGAUCUGACUCACAGAAAGGAAGGAUGACACUCCACAUCAAAGGUGGAAGUGGACAGGUGUUUUCAAAUAAUCAUUUCCAGCUGGGCUUGGGGGCUCAGACUUGUAAUCCUAGCACUUUGGGAGGCCGAGGCAGGCAAAUCGCCUGAGGCCAGGAGUUCGAGACCAGCCUGGCCAACGUGGCGAAACCCCAUCUCUACUAAAAAUACAAAAAAUUAGCUGGGCAUAGUGGCAGGAGCCUGUAAUCUCAGCUACUGCGGAGGCUGAGGCAGGAGAAUCAUUUGAACCCAGGAGGCAGAGGCUGCAGUGAGCCGAGAUCUCGCCAUAGCGCACCAGCCUGGGCGACAAGAGUGAAACUGUGUCUCAAUAAAUAAAUAAAUAAAUAAAAUCAUUUCAUUUCCCACCCAAAUAUCCUGCUACAUCUUUUAAUGCAUUUUCACAUUCUCUGAAUAUUUCUGUUUACAUCUGCCUCUUUC
rnacentral:lncRNA from 1 species